rnacentral:rRNA from 1 species
UACGUAGGUGGCAAGCGUUGUCCGGAUUUACUGGGCGUAAAGGGCGUGCAGGCGGUUUGGUAAGUGCAGGGUGAAAGCUCCCGGCUCAACUGGGAGAGGUCCUUGCAUACUGGCAGACUUGAGGGAGGCAGAGGAAAGUGGAAUUCCCGGUGUAGUGGUGAUAUGCGUAGAUAUCGGGAGGAACACCGGUGGCGAAGGCGGGUCUCUGGGCAACAACUGACGCUGAGGAGCGAAAGCGUGGGGAGCGAACAGG